AUUGAACGCUGGCGGCAGGCCUAACACAUGCAAGUCGAGCGAGCGGCGGACGGGUGAGUAAUGUAUGGGGAUCUGCCUGAUGGAGGGGGAUAACUACUGGAAACGGUAGCUAAUACCGCAUACUAUCAGAUGAACCCAUAUGGGAUUAGCUUGUAGGUAGGGUAACGGCUUACCUAGGCGACGAUCCCUAGCUGGUCUGAGAGGAUGAUCAGCCACACUGGGACUGAGAAACGGCCCAGACUCCUACGGGAGGCAGCAGUGGGGAAUAUUGCACAAUGGGCGCAAGCCUGAUGCAGCCAUGCCGCGUGUAUGAAGAAGGCCUUCGGGUUGUAAAGUACUUUCAGUCGGGAGGCGUUACCAACAGAAUAAGCACCGGCUAACUUCGUGCCAGCAGCCGCGGUAAUUC
rnacentral:rRNA from 1 species